UUUCCCAUCGUGCUGAGGCGGGUGGCAUGGCGGAGAAGGAUGACACCGGAGUUUGACGAAGAGGUGGUUUUUGAGACAUUAAAAGUACCACUACUAUGGAAGUACCACUGCUAGAUGGAAGUUUGAGCUGGACAUGGUGGCUCACACUUGUAAUCCCAGCACUUUGAGAGGCCAAGAAUUCUCCACUUUACCAAUACUUACAGGAUCUGGGACACACAGACUUUGAAAUAUGUUCUUCUUUGUCACCAAAAACAGAAAAAUGCACAACAGAGGGACAACAAAAGCCUCCUACAAGAGUCCUACCAAAAUACCUGGGAUAUAGUAAUCACUCAAUGAAUAUAAACUGCACUUACUGGCAUGCUCAAGGAAUGGGCUAUUAAGCAAGGUAUCCUGUUAAAAGUGGCUGAAACCAUCAAAAGUUGGAUUUUUUUUUCUCAGUGCAAUAAGAAAGAUGACUUACUUCACAAGCUGGAUAUUGGAUUCCGACUCGACUCAUUACAUACCAUCCUGCAACAGGAAGUCCUGUUACAAGAGGAUGUGGAGCUGAUUGAGCUACUUGAUCCCAGUAUCCUGUCUGCAGGGCAAUCUCAACAACAGGAAAAUGGACACCUUCCAACACUUUGCUCCCUGGCAACCCCUAAUAUUUGGGAUCUCUCAAUGCUAUUUGCCUUCAUUAGCUUGCUCGUUAUGCUUCCCACUUGGUGGAUUGUGUCUUCCUGGCUGGUAUGGGGAGUGAUUCUAUUUGUGUAUCUGGUCAUAAGAGCUUUGAGAUUAUGGAGGACAGCCAAACUACAAGUGACCCUAAAAAAAUACAGUGUUCAUUUGGAAGAUAUGGCCACAAACAGCCGAGCUUUUACUAACCUCGUGAGAAAAGCUUUAC
rnacentral:sRNA from 1 species